AGCAGCCGCGGUAAUUCCAGCUCCAAUAGCGUAUAUUAAAGUUGUUGCAGUUAAAAAGCUCGUAGUUGAACUUCGGGGUUUACCCAUUGGUCAGGCUUAAUUGUCUGUACUGGUGAGAUAAAUCUCUACCUUCUGAGGAACUUUCAUGCCAUUUAUUUGGUGUGAUUGGAAAUCAGGACUAUUACUUUGAAAAAAUUAGAGUGUUUAAAGCAGGCUAACGUCUGAAUAUAUUAGCAUGGAAUAAUGGAAUAGGACGGCUUGGUUCUAUUUCGUUGGUUUCUAGGAUCACCGUAAUGAUUAAUAGGGAUAGUUGGGGGCAUUAGUAUUCAAUUGUCAGAGGUGAAAUUCUUGGAUUUAUUGAAGACUAACUACUGCGAAAGCAUUUGCCAAGGAUGUUUUCAUUAAUCAAGAACGAAAGUUAGGGGAUCGAAGACGAUCAGAUACCGUCGUAGUCUUAACCAUAAACUAUGCCGACUAGGGAUCGGACGAAGUUAAUUUUAUAAUGACGCGUUCGGCACCU
rnacentral:rRNA from 1 species